rnacentral:lncRNA from 1 species
CUCCUCCCUUGGUUUGCACUGAGGGUAACCCAAGUCUCAGCUGAAGUUAAGGGGGUUCAUGUUGGAUAUAUAUCAGCCAAAAAAAAAAAAAACCAAUCAUUCCCCCCCCCACCAGCAAGAACAGAAAGAGCUUUGACUUGAUGCACCAGCUCAGGGUGAAAGCUGUUGUUGGUCCCAAUUAGUGCAGCCAGCUUGCAUCCCUUUAAUAAGGGUAUCCUGGCAAAUAAUAAAUGUUUAAUACAGUCUUUCUUAUCUUCCCUCCCUGUUGCAAUGUCCACUCUUCUGCUCUGUUUUAAAGAGGAUGAACCAGAGGCAGAAUCUACAAACCUGAACCGAAGCACUUUUGCAUGGAUGUGCAUUGCAUUACUUCUCCUUUCCAGAGACAAAGAAUCAUCUCCCACCUCCCAGAAGGGUUGACAGCAAGCCGGGGAAAGAGGCGCUCCCUGCAUGAGACCCAGAGGCCUUUUCUUUCCACUUGAUCUGUGUUACACCGGAUUACGUCGAGGUGUGUUAUUUUACAUCACAGCAUGCUGGAAAUCGGCGUGAAGCGAGGCAGGGGGACCAAAGAGAGCACAGGGGCACGCAAAACCCUCAAAUAAAGGAAAGAUUUGCCAGAACUGCCA